GGGAGUAGAGCUUAAGUGGUAAAGUGCUGGCCUCCUAAGCAGGAGGCCCUGAGUUCAAGUCCCAGUACUGCAA
rnacentral:tRNA from 1 species